UUGCGCUCGGUGCCCCGUCACCGCGGGGAGCGAGCGGAGGGCGUCCCCGGCCCGCUGCCUGCCGCCCUGCCGCCUCGCCCGGCCCCGAGGGAAAGAGGCUGUGGGGGGCCUGCGAGUGGGAAGGGGUCGCAGCUAGGAAUCGACUUUACACCCUUUCCGACCUUAUAGCGAAGGGGGCUGGGUGAGAAACGCGGAGUGAGGGUUUUUUUCCUGUCAGACACAGCGCAGUGUCUGCACCCCUCCCGGGGCGCCCUGCAGGUCCGGGCUCACCCCCGCCGCCGGGCUGAGGCGCGCUCCCGGAGUCACAUCCCCCCGUCUGGCACCCCCGUAGCAAAGGCUUAAACACGGGAGCUUGUUGCAAGCAGCGCGGAGCUACCAAGCGCGUUAGCUGUGAGACUCCUAUGAAUUUUUCAAGAGGCUGCUUUAUAAUCAGGAGAGUUUGUAAUCAAGCUACGUACGCCCGCUUAUUUCGCGGCUGUGCUGGCUGUAUUACUCCUGACACAGCCUGAGGCUGGCUGUGCUGCAGCUCGACGCUCGGAGCCUUGGGAAGAGACACAACUGAUAUGACACAAACGAACGUUUCUUAGCCUUUACCUUGGGCAGAGGGUGGGCUAGAGUUACAUUUUCCUGGCAGGUAUCCAGGACUGUGAGUCUUCGCUUUUGCAGCCUUUGCUUAGACAGUCAGUAAAUGGAGACAUAAAUACAAAAACUAGGCUUUCCCAAGUAUCUAUGGGACAAUUUAUGUAAACUCCACAAGGCACUCCUUCGAGGUUGGCAUUGAUCCUGUGUCAGAGUCACAGUGAAGUGACACAUGGACAUGUUCUCACUUGAAAAAUGAGUUACUGUAAUAUUAGCCUCAACUAUUUCAGCUGAGUGAGGGUAGUGAAUGAGGGUAGGGAGUAAAUUUUAGAUUUGCUAUAAUUUCACAUGAAUGAAUGUAGUGAAUCAGUUUUCUCUCCAAAGCCUUGCCUAAUAUAUCAUGACAAAACCCAAAGUUGAUUGCUUCCUAUUCAAAAGAGACCUGAGCACCAAAUGAAUUUGUAUUUGAUCCCAAAUUAGUCCAAAGGGUAUUGUCUACCAGAUGUUUAUUGUUUGGCUAGGUUUUUAGUUUGGGUUAUUACAGAGAAACAUGCCUGAUGAAGCGUUCAAAGCAAGCUGUCCGAUUCCAGUGGGCUUUUGCUCAGAUGUUACAAUACCAUUAAUACAUUUCCAGCUCUAUUUCAAUGUCUUUUAUUCAAGAGUUCUCUGAUACUUUUAAUUGUCACCUGAAUGUACCUGUACAUGCAUCUUCUGAUGCCCUUUGUCAUAUACACAGUCCUAUGAAUUUGUGUGACUAUCAGCUCUUCUGUUGUAGCGUGUCUGCAGACCCAAAAACAGAUGAAGAGAGGGCUAGCGUGUAGCAAAUAAUGCCAAAACCAUGCAGUCACUCCUGUGUACAAAUCGCAUUGCAUUGGGAUUUUGGUGCAAAGGACUGGAAAUGAAGCAAAACUUCAUAAAUAGGAUUAGCUCCUGAACACUUGCAGUGUGUGAGUGGCAAAUGUUCUCCAGCAGUUUCAGCUCUUUUGGUCUGAACUCCCAGCACCCAGCUGAAUGCAGUAAGGGCUACUUGCAAAGAGGUUUGGGGACGGAGAGCUGAGCUGUUCCUUUUCCUGAAAAAAAAAAAAAAAAGAUAACCUGCCAUAGGAAAGCUAAAUCAACAGUUUAGCGUCAUUUAGACUACCUUAGCAAAGAACUGAAAGAGGGCAGUUUGUCUGAGGUUGGAGACGGUGCCUCAUAUCUAUUCCUCUUCAUAAAGGAGUAAUUAAGCAAGUGGAUACAACAAGAAGAAAGUAUGUUAGUUAGAUCGUUGGUUGAUAGCCCCUGUCCAGCAGGACCCUUCACAAAUAUUUCAUUGUUAGAUCUAUCAGAUAUAAUUAAUCUUGGCAUGGUUUCAGUCAUCCAAAGAGGCUGCAGCACACUUGAAAACUCCUUAUAAAUAGCACUAAUAGAUAGCUCUGUUCUGUGGUUUUCAGCCAUAAAUCUCAAAGAACAAAGUUCUUUUAUGGCUGGGGAUGCUGAAGCAUAAAGAAAUCAGGGGAUGACCAAGUCAGAGAUGGAUCAUGUUGUAGAUUUUGCGGGUUUGAUGCUAUGGAUAUAACUAGAACUGCGAUUUGCACCAUAGGUCACAGUAGCAUUUGUCAGCAUGGUAGAGGAGGUGUGAAGUGGGCUAUAAUGUUAAAAUCCUAGAAGGGAAUAAUAAAGUAACAAGAGAGUAGGAGUUUCAUGUGACACAGUGCAGAGCUGCUGUGAGGAUGAAGACUAAUAGUAAAGGACAAUCAGAGUCUUUGAGAGUCAUUUUAAUGACACUUCUAAGAAGCAUUUUCAUUAAAGCAUUGCUUGUGAAAUAUUUUAAGUAAAAUUAAAUGAAGAAUAAGUAUUUCUGCCCAAGUGCUAUUAAAACUGCAACUCAUGAGGCUACUGUUUUAGAGCCUAAAGUCUCAUUGCAGCUAGUGGAAACUGACCGUAAACAGGUAUAGAUUCCAGAAGCAAAUCCGUAACUGCAUUCAACUCAAAAGCUUGUGAUUCUCAGGCAGUGUUCCUCAAUUCAGCCAACUUAUGCUGAUCUACACUGAGGAAAAGGAACAGCUGUGGAACUUUUCUUUAUAAAGGCUGCCAUUUUGAGGUUGUAAUUUCUGAAAGUUGCAUGUGGGAGAGAAGAAGGGAAAGCAGUGCAGUAAAGAAUUGGAUACGCAGCCAUAACAGAGGUAUUUUUCAGUGGAAAGACACCGACUGUCAAUUGCAGGGAAAAAGAUGUUAGGAGCAACUAAGUAUAGCAAUGCAUUACCAAUUUCUGAAAAUGCCAGGUAAAUAAGGAAAAUUUCCCAGUCAACAGCUGAAGAGGGAGGCAGGGUCAGGAAAAGAAGUUGGUACUUGACUCCUCUCAGAAAAGAGCAGUUUCAGUUCUGUGAAAGGAGUUGGAUCCAAUCAUCCUGGGGAUUGUUCUGAGAGAGACAUUUAUACCCAGGGGAGGAAAAAUGUUUCUGUGAUAUGACUUCGAAGUCUUGGUUGGCUAAUGGUUUCAUAGCUGACGUAGGGGGAGAAUAUCAGAGUAGCAAAGUAAGUGAGCUAAUCUUAUGGCAGAAUAUACUCUUUGAACAGUGGUUGAGAAUCAGUGGAUUGCUGGUUGAGCAAGGAGCUAAGGAAUGUUUCCUUAUUGCCCAUUGAUGUGCUACUUUGAUUGUGAGCACAGCGUAUCCUUUCCUCCUCCUUGAUCAGUGUUCUCGUGGAUUUGACAAAGUAUUUGCAAUGAAGCACAUAAAGGCCUCUGAAACUCCAGAAACUGAUAAUAGAAGCUGGUUGGACUAAGCGGCUUGUUAUUGCUACAUCAUGUCAGAAAGAUUUAUCUGCAGAAAACAGAGAUCAUGCGCUGCACGGAACAAGCCAGCACUUUGUACCACUCUUUAUAUGAAUAUCAGAAGCCCAGACAAAGGGAACAGCCAGUUGGCAAGCAGGCUGAGAACAAGGUCAUAAUCUCUCCAGAGGAGCCAACGCACCCAAUCUCAGCAAAGACACUAAGCUCAUCAUCUGAAAUGCAUUUGUAUGAGCAGCAGCUAUAACCUCCACACCACCCUCUCAGUUACACAAACACAGAUGUCCCUGAAGCCAUAAAAUGACCUACAUCAAAAAGCCAAGGCAGGUGCUGUUUUAGAAUACUUUUGAUAUACGUGCCGUUUUUCAUUAAAGUAUGGUAAACAUUUUCAGCCCAAUCUUAACUCCCCGGUCUUUAAUCUCUUAUCCACAUAACUGCACGCUCCUGCCAGAGGCUGUAUGGCAGAACUGAGGGUGUGGGGCAGGGUGGCCAGGAAGGUAAGGGGGGUCGAGCAGGGAGGGCCUGCCUAGGUUGUUCAAGCAGCACACGUGGAAAUGGGAUCUAGCAGGGCUCCCACGGCCUGCAAACCACACAGCCGAUGGAGUGUGGACCGAGAGAAAGCAACUGCCACCAGAAGUCCAAAACGAGUAGUACUGACAGAGAAUUAUCCAUGACAAUUACUACAAAAUCUAAUCCAGCUGCAAAUACAAUUACUAGAAAUCAGGAAAACACUGUUCAGAUCAGGUGGUAUCAGUAAGAUAGAGGGGUUGCAGUGUAAGGCCUCUCUAAGCUUUGAGGAGCACUUAGGAGCUCAUAUCCAGAACUUUGAUAGACUGUGUGUUGUACUAGCACAGACUAAAAAGACUGCUUCAAAUCUAAGUGUGAAAUAUAUGCAGAGAAUGCUAAAGGGAAUGUAUUAAUAGACUUUCAUAGCUUUUUUUUUUUUUUUGGCAGCAUGCUGUAUAUAGGUUGAGGCUUUUAGACGAAGUUAGAUCAGAAAGAAAUGUCAGAAAAAGAAGAAUCAGUGAAAAUGGGUAUAAGAGAAGAAGUGGUCCAAAGAACAAACUUUGCACCUCCACAGCUGAAGGUGAUCUUAGAACAAGAACAGAGUGAUUACAGAGGUAUCUGUCAUCUGCCUGCUGAUAGGGCCUUCAGAAGAAAGCCUGUUCUGGAGCCCUCAUCACUACUGAUACACUAACAUCUGUGACAGUACCCGUGUCUCCUGGAUUUUGUCGGGAACCCAACUAUGGGAUCCUCAAUGAAGCAAAUUUUCUGCCAGCCUCACCAUGUGAAGUCAGUCCUCCCUGCGAAUGUUGAUCAGAACUAGAUGCCCCAAUGGCAUUAAACUGCAACACUUGAACAGCACGCAGCCUCUCUCUGCAUAUCUUCCCUCAGUGCCCUGCAGCUCUGAUCACCACACUGCAAAGAAACAUGGCAGACUUAAAUCUUGAAGCUUAUAUCACAAAAGACUGCCUUGGUGCACAAGAACAAUGUUUGCAGGAAAACAUCGCAGGUACAAUUAACAGCACUGAAUCUGGAGACAGGAUGAAUAAGAAGGACAUGACAGAGUCGUAGUUCCACCAGCGCACGUCACGGAGAAGGUAAAUUGGGUGAUCCUCUUUAGUCUUUCGUAUACCACAAGAACAAGAUGUUAACUCAAAGGCAACAAAUUGAAAUCAGAUAAAAGGAAAUCAAUUGUAUAAAGAGUACAAUUAACCUCCUACAACAACUACUGGAGCCAAGAACUCAGCAAGCUUCU